rnacentral:rRNA from 1 species
GAUGAACGCUGGCGGCGUGCCUAAUACAUGCAAGUCGAGCGAACAGACGAGGAGCUUGCUCCUUCGACGUUAGCGGCGGACGGGUGAGUAACACGUAGGUAACCUACCUAUAAGACUGGGAUAACUUCGGGAAACCGGAGCUAAUACCGGAUAAUAUUUCGAACCGCAUGGUUCGAUAGUGAAAGAUGGCUUUGCUAUCACUUAUAGAUGGACCUGCGCCGUAUUAGCUAGUUGGUAAGGUAACGGCUUACCAAGGCAACGAUACGUAGCCGACCUGAGAGGGUGAUCGGCGACACUGGAACUGAGCCACGGUCCAGACUACUACGGGAGGCAGCAGUAGGGAAUCGGCCGCAAUGGGCGAAAGCAUGACGGAGCGACGCCGCGUGAGUGAUGAAGGUCUUCGGAUCGUAAAACUCUGUUAUUAGGGAAGAACAACCGUGUAAGUAACUGUGCACGUCUUGACGGUACCUAAUCAGAAAGCCACGGCUAACUACGUG